GACGUAGGGCGCGAGCGUUGUCCGGAUUUAUUGGGCGUAAAGAGCUCGUAGGCGGUCUGUCGCGUCUGCUGUGAAAACUCAGGGCUUAACCCUGAGCUUGCAGUGGGUACGGGCAGACUAGAGUGCGGUAGGGGAGACUGGAAUUCCGGGUGUAGCGGUGGAAUGCGCAGAUAUCAGGAGGAACACCCGUGGCGAAGGCGGCUCUCUGGGGACGGUACUGACGCUGAGACGCGAAAGCGUGGGGAGCAAACAGG
rnacentral:rRNA from 1 species